rnacentral:rRNA from 1 species
AUGCAAGUCGAACGAUUAAAGCCCCUUCGGGGGUAUAUACAGUGGCGAAAGGGCGAGGAAUACGUUCCUACGUACCCCGAGGUCGGGGAUAGCCCGGGGAAACCCGGAGUAAUACCCGAUGUGGUCCCGACUUCGUCGGGAUCAAAGGCUUCGGUCGCCUUGGGAGCGGGGAACGUCCUAUCAGGUUGUUGGUGAGGUAAAGGCUCACCAAGCCGAAGACGGGUAGCGGGUGUGAGAGCACGAUCCGCCGCAUCGGGACUGAGACACUGCCCGGACUCCUACGGGAGGCUGCAGCAACGAAUCUUCCGCAAUGCGCGAAAGCGUGACGGAGCAAUGCCGCGUGCAGGAUGAAGCCCUUCGGGGUGUAAACUGCUGUCAGGGUUUAGCAACACAAUGAGCAGACCCAAAGGAAGGGCCGGCUAACUUCGUGCCAGCAGCCGCGGUAAUACGAAGGGCCCGAGCGUUGCGCGGAAUCACUGGGCUUAAAGCGUACGUAGGCGGGCAUGCAGGUAUCUUGUGAAAGCCCUCGGCUCAACCGAGGAACUGCUUGGUAAACCGCAUGUCUUGAGGCAAGUAGGGGCUGUCGGAACGAUAGGUGGA